GGAAAUUGUUGAAGCCUAAUAUUACGUUACACGCCCUUCCCUCCUCCCCGAAGUCUCAAAUUUUCACGGCGGCACCUCCCCCUCUCUUCUUUCCGGCGAAAACCCUAACUUCCAUUCUGCGCCCAAAACCGACCUCUUCUGCUCUAACGCCAACCACUGGACGGAAAUUGUUGAAGCUCCUUAAGGCCGAAGGUUAUCCUCCAUCCAAAAUCCCUCCUCAAUCUUCCCAUAUUACCCCCUUCGUUCUUCAGCAGCCCGGGUUGGCUCGGGCGAGUCGACUCGUCCUUGCUAGGCUUGGCAUUUGCGUGGUUCUAUGCCCUCGAGUCGAAUUAUGCUGUUCAACAUUCGUUUAUAAUUAUUUUCUCAUUCGUUUUUAUCUGGACUUUGCUGUUUUUCCUCUGCUUUCAGUGUUAGUUGCUUUUUUCUGCAGCCUGAAGAGUGGCCAGUGGCAGAGAGUGAGAGAGAAGGGAAGUUAGGUUUAUAUUUGUAUUGGAGAUGAGCUGAGCUGAGCUCAGGGUGAGCUUAAAAUGAGUAGACUAUCAAUUAGACCCCGUCCGCUUGACUUUAACAAGAAGCUGCCUAUUAUAAAAUCUGUAAAGGAUUUCGAUGAUGAUAUUGACACAGCUACCAAUACCCGCAACUCCCAAUUUCUUCGCCUUGCAGCCGAAGCUCCAGACCCGGAGGUGCAGCAAGUUUCUGCCAAGAAAUUGGCUUCUGAAAUUCCUACUCCAGAGUUUGUAAUUGUGGAUACAUAUGAAAGAGACUAUUCACGCACUUUCACUCAGCCAACAUCAUAUAUACAUGCACGGGGAGCUCGGGCUGAAAUUGGAGAGUUUGUGGAGUAUGAUCUUGACAAUGAAGAUGAAGAUUGGCUUCAUGAGUUCAAUAAUGAAAGGAAGAUCCUUCCUGCUGAAAAACUUGAGAUAAUCCUGUAUAAAUUGGAAGUUUUAGAUCACAAGGCUCGGGAAAGAGCAGGAGUAAUUACACCAACUCUUGUAUCACAUAUCCCCGUGCUUCUCAGUUUUGAUGCUGCUGUUGAGGGUUUGCAAUCUAUUUCCACAACAUAUGGAGUUUUUCAGUCUAUAUAUAGCUACUGGAAAGACAAGCGGGAACAUUGGCAGAAGCCCAUUCUUCGGCACUUACAGCCACCUCCACCUGUUAAUGAUACCAACCCAUAUAAUGUAUUUAGGCCAAGGGAAAAGGCUCACAGACUCCACACAAGAAGGAUGCAAAGGAGGGAAAACAAUGUUCAAUCAUUUGAAAAGCUUCGCCAGGUUAGACGCAACCUUGAACAAGCAAAGACCAUUCUUGAGGCUCUUGUCAAGAGAGAAGAGAAAAAGAGAGAAGUUAUGGAAAGUGAAAUUAGCCUUCAGAGACUUCAAAUGAAACAUAAGAAUGAAACUGAGCUUUUUGAAGAUAGCUUCGCCCUACAAGGAUUUCAUUCCUUUCCAAGCAAGGUUGGUUCAAGUGAGGAUGAGUUUGUUGACUCGGAUGAUGUUGGUGUUGGCCGUCCAUAUGCUCGGCCUUCUAUGGUACACUCUAUGCCUUUUACAGACUCAAAGAUGGUGGCAGUUUCCACUGGAAGCAUAAGACGGGACUUCAAACGACGUCAGACCCCAUAUGGAUGGCUCCAAAAAUUGGAUCCUAAUGAGCCAGUUCUGCUGUUCACGAAACCUCUGGAUCCCGAGAAACUGGCAGCUGCAGGCAUUAAGCCACCAACAGAUUCAUCAAUGGCCGAUGGCAUACUAGGACGCUCAUUGAAUUUGCGUGGACGAAUUGGCAGGGGUGGCCGACUGGUGUUUGACAGAUGGAAUCCACUUAUGCAUACUCCAAUCGAGUGUGGCGAUACUUUCUACCUACCACCAAAGCCCCGACCAGCCACUCAUCGCUGAUAGAUAUUAAAUGUUAUUUCCAGUUCUUGAACUUGGAAGAGUAUGCUCUCUGCUCUGGGUUUACCACAGCCCAUUGUGCAAUUAACAUUGUAUUCUUCAAGGUUAGGAAAAGGGGCACCCUUUGUACAAUUAGUGGUAUUCUCUUGUUUUUUCGAGGCUAGUGGGUAGAAAGGAAGAGCACAACAGAGCGUCUUUGUUGCGGAUGUAGCAACACGAUGUUUGAAGCAAAUGCUUAGAUAGUGUAUGCUUUGUUGUAAAUGAUUGGAUUUGCAUCAAGGGAGGGAGGUAGCAUAAUUUCUCUAUUGCUGUAAAUUCUGACAUUUUAUUUUUCUUUCUGAUCAGUUUCUCUUGGACCUUGAAAUUAUGCCAACCUA